rnacentral:rRNA from 1 species
AUGAAAAAACCAUCAAUUUGCUUGACAGGGGAUGUACAAAGGCGCCAAAGGAGCUUGAAGUGUGGUACUAGAGACGGUGGCUACACAAGACCUCUGAUUUUGGCACUCCUUAUUUGGUAUGCCAGGAAGACAGGAAUUCACAAUGACAUCAACGUGCUGCAGUGUUCGAAUGUCUUUGCCAAGCUUGUUGAAGGUCAUACUCCUGCAAUGAACUUUGAGGUCAAUGGGCGCCACUACAUCAAGGGAUACUACGUAGAAGAUGGCUAUCCAAGAUGGUGCACAUUUGUAAGAAUAUCUCAAACCAUGUGCCACGAGGCAAGAACUCCUACUUUGCUAAGUGUCAGAAGGCUUGCAGGAAGGAUGUCGAGCGGGUAUUUGGUGUGCUCCAAUCUCGAUUUGCUGUUGUCCGGUACUCCGCUCUGA